rnacentral:rRNA from 1 species
CAGUAGCCGCGGUAAAACGGAGGGUGCGAGCGUUAAUCGGAAUUACUGGGCGUAAAGCGUACGCAGGCGGCUUGUUAAGUCAGAUGUGAAAUCCCCGAGCUUAACUUGGGAACUGCAUUUGUAACUGGCAAGCUAGAGUCUUGUAGAGGGGGGUAGAAUUCCAGGUGUAGCGGUGAAAUGCGUAGAGAUCUGGAGGAAUACCGGUGGCGAAGGCGGCCCCCUGGACAAAGACUGACGCUCAGGUGCGAAAGCGUGGGGAGCAAACAGGAUUAGAUACCCCGGUAGUCCCUGUCUCUUAUAC